rnacentral:misc_RNA from 1 species
GAUGAAGAACGUAGCGAAAUGCGAUAAGUAGUGUGAAUUGCAGAAUUCAGUGAAUCAUCGAAUCUUUGAACGCACAUUGCGCCCUUUGGUAUUCCUUAGGGCAUGCCUGUUCGAGCGUCAUUUAAACCUUCAAGCUAAGCUUGGUGUUGGGUGACUGUCCGCUUCACGGCGGACUCGCCUCAAAAUUAUUGGCGGCCGGUACAUUGGCUUCGAGCGCAGCAGAAACGCGAACUCGGGCCCGUCGUAUUGGAUCCCAGAAGCUAUCUUCACAAUUUUGACCUCGGAUCAGGUAGGGAUACCCGCUGAACUUAAGCAUAUCAAUAAGCGGAGGA